rnacentral:rRNA from 1 species
GACGAACGCUGGCGGCGUGCCUAAUACAUGCAAGUAGAACGAGGUGCGGACGGGUGAGUAACGCGUGGUAACCGGCCUCAUAGCGGGGGAUAACUAUUGGAACCGAAAGCUAAUACCGCAUACUGUGAGAUGGACCUGCUUUGUAUUGGCUAGUUGGUGAGGUAAAGGCUCACCAAGGCGACGCUACAUAGCCGGCCUGAGAGGAUGACCAGCCACACUGGAACUGAGACACGGUCCAGACUCCUACGGGAGGCAGCAGUGGGGAAUAUUGGACAAUGGGCGCAAGCCUGAUGCAGCCAUGCCGCGUGUAUGAAGAAGGCCUUCGGGUUGUAAAGUACUUUCAGCGAGGAGGCGUUACUCGCAGAAGAAGCACCGGCUAACUCCGUGCCAGCAGCCGCGGUAAUAC